rnacentral:rRNA from 1 species
GACGAACGCUGGCGGCGUGCUUAACACAUGCAAGUCGAACGGAAAGGCCCUGCUUUUGUGGGGUGCUCGAGUGGCGAACGGGUGAGUAACACGUGAGUAACCUGCCCUUGACUUUGGGAUAACUUCAGGAAACUGGGGCUAAUACCGGAUAGGAGCUCCUGCUGCAUGGUGGGGGUUGGAAAGUUUCGGCGGUUGGGGAUGGACUCGCGGCUUAUCAGCUUGUUGGUGGGGUAGUGGCUUACCAAGGCUUUGACGGGUAGCCGGCCUGAGAGGGUGACCGGCCACAUGGGGACUGGGACACGCGCCAGAGGCGUGCGGCAGGCAACGGUGGGGUAGAGUGCGCAAUGGGGUGAGGCCUGAGGCAGCAGUGGGGGGUGGGGAACGACGGACGGAGGGUUGUGAACGGCGGGCGCCGGUGGUGAAGCGGGACUGAGGGUGAUGGACAAAGAAGCACCGGCUAACUACGUGCCAGCCGCGGAGGUAAAAGUAGGAAGCGCAAACGUCGGAA